UGUCCUCUUUGUUUCAAAGUUAAACUAUGAGUAAGUUCCUCUCAAAGUUAGUUUGGCCUACACCCAAGAAUGAACAAGGACAGGUUAGACUCUAAUCUAGAAAUCUAGAAGCAAGAUGGAGUUGGUUAGGGCAGAUUUUUUUUUUUUUUUGAGACAUAGUUUCGCUCUGUCAUCCAGGCUGGAGUGCAGCGGCGCGAACUCUGGCUCACUGCAAGCCCCGCCUCCCAGGUUCGCGCCAUUUUCCUGCCUCAGCCUCCUGAGUAGCUGGGUCUACAGGCGCCCGCCAUCACGCCCGGCUAAUUUUUUGUGCUUUUAAUAGAGAUGGGGUUUCACCGUGUUAGCCAGGAUGGUCUUGAUCUCCUGACCUCAUGAUCCGCCCUCCUCGGCCUCCCAAAGUGCUGGGAUUACAGGUGUGAGUCACCGCGCUCGGCCAGGGCAAAUCUCUUUAACUAUUAUAAUUUUCUCAGUUAUAAUCUUGCCAUGGUGGUUUCAAAAGGUGACUGGAAGAAAGCGGAAGGAAUGCUUGCCUCAUCUUGCAGACAUCAGGUGCAUUCCUGAGAAGCUACAGGUGCACAACCUUAGUCAGGCUCUGGGGAUACAGAAGUAACAAGAAGACCAGACCCUUGUUCCAAUGGAGGAGACAUCCUGACUACACACAGAAAGAUGACUUCAUUUCUUCACCGAGUGUUUCGUGAGUGUCUGCUGCAUGCUGGACACUAGCAAAGGCAGAAGGAAUUCAACCACAACUGAAAUGAACACCGGGUAUCCAAGGGCAGGAGGAAAAUGCUGGAGAAAGGACCUCAAGUCAAGUGAUGGAUGGCUUCAAGGAAGGCACAACAGAGAGCUGUUGGGGUCCAGGAGAAGAAAUCUGCAGUACAAGUAUUAUCAUGUCAUUUCACUAAUGGACAAGUACAAGUUUGGAUACAAGAUGAAUAAUGAAAUCUACUUGGUUUCAAUGAGAUGCUUUGCUCAGUGGAAGAAGAUAAUUUGAUGAAGGCAAGGCCAUUUCUGGUACUCCUAAAUCACACCAUUUUAAAAGCUACUUAUGUGGCAUCCACCCAGAACCUGUUUUAGUGAGAACAAAGGUGCCUUCAGCAGUUCUAAGAGGUCUGUCUAAACCCUAGUUUCUUUUGUUCAUAUUUUCUUUUUGAAAACUAAGCUCUAUCGAUUGGCCCAACAAUACUGCAGGCUUGGAGGGAGAUGCAGCCAACUUUACUACUGCAGUUAGUAGGAGACACUUCCAGUGGAAUACAACUUUCCAGUGAGACGAUGACCCCAUCUGUGUACUGUUACAUUUAUAGGGGAUAAUCUUCUACAAGAGAUCCAGAUUUCAAUCUCAAUUGCCAAUAAGUCUGUAUGUCCUUAGGUAAUCCCUGUCCCUUCUCAUCGAAUAUCAGCUUCACCAUCCGGAAACAAAGGAGCAGAUUUUGAU
rnacentral:lncRNA from 10 species